AGCAGCUUGGCGCAGUGGAAGCGCGGUAUGUUUACUCGAAUCUUGUGUUCCAAAUUCGUACUAACAAUUCCUCAGCCGGGCUCAUAACCCGGAGGUCACUGGAUCGAAACCAGUAGCUGCUA
rnacentral:tRNA from 1 species